rnacentral:misc_RNA from 1 species
CCUAGAGUUUGUGGACUUCGGUCUGCUACCUCUUACCCAUGUCUUUUGAGUACCUUCGUUUCCUCGGCGGGUCCGCCCGCCGGAUUGGACAAAUUUAAAAACCAUUUGCAGUUGCAAUCAGCGUCUGAAAAAAACUUAAUAGUUA